AUGAAGAAGGGAUUUACAAUUGUGCUGCCUGUGGAACUCCGCUUUACAAGUCUACCACCAAAUUUGAUUCUGGUUGUGGUUGGCCUGCUUUCUUCGAGGGUUUUCCUGGAUCCAUCAAUCGAUGGUAGAAAGACUGAGAUAACUUGUACAGCAUGUGGUGGACAUUUAGGUCAUGUAUUCAAGGGAGAAGGGUUCAAGGUUCCAACGGAUGAACGCCAUUUUGUCAAUAGUGUUUCUGUCAAGUUCAUUCUUGGAAAUGAUGCUUCUUCCAUAUGA